AAAACCAAUGCCCUUCGGGGCUUCCUGGUGAUUCAUGAUAACUUCUCGAAUCGCACGGCCUUGCGCCGGCGAUGGUUCAUUCAAAUUUCUGCCCUAUCAACUUUCGACGGCUGGGUCUUGGCCAGCCAUGGUGACAACGGGUAACGGAGGGUUAGGGCUCGACCCCGGAGAAGGAGCCUGAGAAACGGCUACUACAUCCAAGGAAGGCAGCAGGCGCGCAAAUUACCCAAUCCCGACACGGGGAGGUAGUGACAAUAAAUACUGAUACAGGGCUCUUUUGGGUCUUGUAAUUGGAAUGAGUACAAUUUAAACCUCUUAACGAGGAACAAUUGGAGGGCAAGUCUGGUGCCAGCAGCCGCGGUAAUUCCAGCUCCAAUAGCGUAUAUUAAGUUGUUGAGGUUAAAAAGCUCGUAGUUGAAACUUGGGCCUGGCUGGCGGGUCCGCCUCACCGCGUGCACUCGUCCGGCCGGGCCUUCCUUCUGAAGAACCUCAUGCCCUUCACUGGGCGUGCUGGGGAACCAGGACUUUAC
rnacentral:rRNA from 1 species